AGUGAACGCUGGCGGUAGGCCUAACACAUGCAAGUCGAACGGCAGCACAGUAAGAGCUUGCUCUUACGGGUGGCGAGUGGCGGACGGGUGAGGAAUACAUCGGAAUCUACUUUUUCGUGGGGGAUAACGUAGGGAAACUUACGCUAAUACCGCAUACGACCUACGGGUGAAAGCAGGGGAUCUUCGGACCUUGCGCGAUUGAAUGAGCCGAUGUCGGAUUAGCUAGUUGACGGGGUAAAGGCCCACCAAGGCGACGAUCCGUAGCUGGUCUGAGAGGAUGAUCAGCCACACUGGAACUGAGACACGGUCCAGACUCCUACGGGAGGCAGCAGUAGGGAAUAUUGGACAAUGGGCGCAAGCCUGAUCCAGCCAUACCGCGUGAGUGAAGAAGGCCUUCGGGUUGUAAAGCCCUUUUGUUGGGAAAGAAAAGCAGCAGGUUAAUACCCCGCUGUUCUGACGGUACCCAAAGAAUAAGCACCGGCUAACUUCGUG
rnacentral:rRNA from 1 species